UCCGGAGCUAACGCGUUAAGUAGACCGCCUGGGGAGUACGGCCGCAAGGUUAAAACUCAAAUGAAUUGACGGGGGCCCGCACAAGCGGUGGAGCAUGUGGUUUAAUUCGAUGCAACGCGAAGAACCUUACCUGGUCUUGACAUCCACAGAAGAAUCCAGAGAUGGAUUUGUGCCUUCGGGAACUGUGAGACAGGUGCUGCAUGGCUGUCGUCAGCUCGUGUUGUGAAAUGUUGGGUUAAGUCCCGCAACGAGCGCAACCCUUAUCCUUUGUUGCCAGCGGUUAGGCCGGGAACUCAAAGGAGACUGCCAGUGAUAAACUGGAGGAAGGUGGGGAUGACGUCAAGUCAUCAUGGCCCUUACGACCAGGGCUACACACGUGCUACAAUGGCGCAUACAAAGAGAAGCGACCUCGCGAGAGCAAGCGGACCUCAUAAAGUGCGUCGUAGUCCGGAUUGGAGUCUGCAACUCGACUCCAUGAAGUCGGAAUCGCUAGUAAUCGUGGAUCAGAAUGCCACGGUGAAUACGUUCCCGGGCCUUGUACACACCGCCCGUCACACCAUGGGAGUGGGUUGCAAAAGAAGUAGGUAGCUUAACCUUCGGGAGGGCGCUUACCACUUUGUGAUUCAUGACUGGGGUGAAGUCGUAACAAGGUAACCGUAGGGGAACCUGCGGUUGGA
rnacentral:rRNA from 2 species